CUUAGGUGCAGUGCCUUACAUGCUGUUUUUACUGUUAACAAGUGAUAAUAGGACACCUGGAUAAUUUUAUACACAUCAUCAAUGCUCAAUUCUAAAAGAAGUUAACACCGUCACCCUCCGUUACCCUCUUGUUAACCUCUGAAAGAGUAUCUCUUUUUUCUCACAGAUUGACCUCCGCUCCCUUCGUAUUCCUGGGUUAUGCUUCAUUCCCUUUGUUUUUCUUCAAUCGCGGACUCAUUGCUCCUUGUGUUUUGCAGCUGAUAUGGUGCGUAAGGAACUGGUUUAUGAUUUCCGUAUGAUGCUGAGUCUGUAAGUUCUGCAUAAUGGUGAAUUGCUAGAUAAAAGAGGUGGGACGCGGGUCUUUUAGCUGCGUGAUACUUCAGGUUAAAGUUUGUCUAAUGUCCUUGUUCCUCUUCUAGGUAAUAAGCUAGCUAGAAAGGCUAUUGUUGCUUUCCAUGAAUCUAUCCCUGCUAUUACAAGUUUACAGCUUAUGCUCAAGUAUCAAUGCAAGAAUGAAGUGAUCAAAGCGUAUGAACACACAUGACAAUUUAUCGAGGAUGACUUGGUUUAAUCACAAAGUUGCUGGUUGAAAAGUAUUUCACUAGGAUGACUUGGUGGAUUUUGGUGAGCAGCUGGUCAAGGAAAAUAGGGUAUUAAAGCUUCUAGUAGUGUAAUAAGUUAGAGUGAACUAUGGUAGUCUAGGUUCUAUGUAAUGUAGUCUCUUUUGUACCAAAUGGCAAGUGAUAUGGCUAUCUAUGUCUGCAGAA